CUCGGCUGGCUACCCCACGUCCCUAGGACGCACCCCAUUUUAUCACCCGUUUUCUUCCUACCGCUCCCCUCAGGAUUACACUCCCACCUGCCCUGUGAAUUCUCAAUAAAAUUACAUGCUGUUCAUACUUAGUCUGUGAACCUCAAUAAACUUACAUGUUAAUCAUACUUGGUCUCCCUCGUGUUUAUUUCAUGCAAUUUUUAUGCACAACAAACUUUUUGCUUAGAUUCAGUGGCAUAUUAAUAAAAACUCUUUAUUUAGCCAAGAAGGUUGGAAAGAUCUUGCAUAAUCCAGUGUAAACACUGGUCUCUUAUUGAACCUUGUGCACUUGGUGGUUUUUGGUCACACAGUUAGAGGAGGCCUGCCUGUGUGUGUGUGUGUGUGUGUGUGUGUGUGUGUGUGUGUGUGUGUUACCAGUCAUUGUGGGUGGAGAAGCUAUUUAUGAGUGCAGACACACUUUUAUGUUUUUAUAACACCUACACUACACUUUCUAAGACAGGUGGUCUGCUAUAUCCUGUUUACAGGUUAAAAGUCUUCCUUUUGUCUGAAAUGGUGGAUUUUGAAGCAUGUUUUGUCCUGUUAUAGAAGUCAGUCUCUUUUCAGAUUCAGUGACAUUACUGAUUGUGUCACAUUUCAUUCCAGAAUUAGCUGGAAUUUACUGGAAUCCAUUCUUCCUUCUACUUGUGCAAUGUUUCCUAUUCCGCUGGCUGCCACACAACCCCUAAGCAUAACCGAUCCACCGUUUUAGUCACUGUGGCCAAAUACUUCUAUUUUUACUUCAUCAGUCUAUAGGACUUGUUUCCAAAAUGCAUUGGGCUUUCUUUUCUGCAUACCUCCGAGAUUGAUAUUUGUGAUGAGAUCAGAGGCAAGGUUUCAUUCUGAAAACUCUUCCAUUCAGAUCAUAUUUUGCUACCACAACUGCAAAAUACGAUCUGAGUAGAAAUGUGCACUACCACUCCUGGGUCAGAUAAACCUUCGUGCAAGUCUUUAUUGCCAUUGGAGGAUUUGCAUAUUGGCAGUUUUAUCUGAGUUUUAUUUGAAUUUUUUUUUAGUCUUCCAACUCUUACUUUGACUUCGAAAGUUCUUCUUAACCGCCAUUUAUUAAUGACAUUUCAGCUAGAAACAUUUUAUAGCCUUCCUCCGUUUUGUAGGCUUCAACUAAAAUAGCUUGAUUUUCAGGUGCUCAGUCAGCUGCUUAGAGGAGCCCGGGGUAGUUUGAAGAGUUAUGACGACGGAAUUGUUAUUACUAAUGACAAGUCUCGACCUGGCUAACAGUUAAUCCCAAUCAGAUAAUUAAGGCCUAACAAGCUCAAGUUCUGAGACCUUACAAGCGGAACUUUUGCGACAUGCCUCAAUUACUGAAUUUGCCCAGGAGUGCCCAAACUUUUGCAUAAAACUGUACGUUUGUUUUGAACACAACAUUUAUUUCUUUACUCUGUAUUAAUGCACUUAACUAGCGAUCCUUAAAUGAUUCGAUAAAAAAAUUAGGUUUCCAGGCAAGCAAAAUAUAGGGGUGUGCAAUCAUACAUGACGCUAUAAUGAGGUGAUGUUUUACCUCACGUACAUAGUGAGUGUGUUUUUUUCCUAUGUAAUACAGACGUGCUGGGUUAGGGUUAGUGUUAGACCCUAAACCUAACCCUAACCCUAACCCUAUGUUAAAAUGAACUAUUACAUAUUAAAAUGAAAACGUUUACAAAACACCUACAUUUUCUAAAGCAUGCGAUCUGCCACAAAAAAAAAAGUUUUCAUUUGUCAAAAAUGACAGAAUAAACAAUUCAUUGUUGUAAAUUUACAUGGACUUUUUGGAUUUUACGCUUCAGUCAUAAAUCCAGUGUUUAUCUUAUUCUCUUACAGGCACAAUUCUAUUUGUUUUGAACACAUCAGUGUAGCGUGAGUGCUACAGAAGUACAACUCGCACUAAUGUGUGAGUUUCACUUUACAAACUCACUAACAUCUAAAAAAAAACAAAAAACAAAACAAAAGAAGAAAACAGAGCCCUUAAUUUUCCAUUAAACCCUGAAAGAACCCCCGAGGAACCCUUUGUUUCUCAGAGCGCGUGUACUGUAUGUAAUAACGAGGUAAGAUUGUGGUACAAACUCCACAUUGUGCUAUAUUAUUUUCUACUUAAUGCACCAAUCCAGUCAGGGGUUUAGUAUUCAGUCAGUUUUCUUCUAGAUUCUUCAGGGUUCUUUAAGGGUUCAAUGGAUAAUUAAGGUUUCCUACUGUAGCUUCCAAAAAAAUUAAAAAAUAAAAAUAAAAAGGCAUUUCUAGGCCUUUUUUUUUUUUUGAGAACAAACAAAAAACAGAGCAAUGAUUUGGAAUUUUGCGCCACAUACUUACACAGUUACUACAUACACUCUUAAAAACAAAACAAAGGAGGGACACCUGAAGAACCCUUAAAGUCUCUAAAUUAGGUUAAGUUCAGACAGAUAAGAUUCAUAUUUCUUUCACAGUAUAGACAGACAUCCACAAGUACAUACUAUUCUAAAGUGUGAUUGUCUUUGCUUUACAAAAAGUCAUUUGGAAAGUCUUAAAGUAUCCAGUAUACAGUCAUCUUGUAGAUACAACAUAUAUAAAAGAGAACAAAAGAGGGCUGUGUUUGCAGUGCCCAGCAGACAUGCAAGUAAAACAAUUUCCUGACAACUGCAAAAGACGAACCAGACCCUUAAAAUAACCGCCUCCAAAACCACAGAUGCACACGUUUCUGUUUCAGGUCGGGUCUUGCAUGCAAACCUACAAGAUGCUAUGAACAUUUAAGUGUCAUAAAGACGUAUAAAGAAAAAUUAUUGAAUUUCAUGAUUUCGUUUGCUUCUGGUCACCUGUGACCUUUUUUCUGCAUGUCCUCGUGUUGUAAUAUAUGUUGCUGUAAAUGGGUUCCUCUGCAAAAUAAAUAAAUAAAUAAUUAAAUAAAUAAAUAAAUAAAAUGAAUGAUAAAACAGCAAAAUCAUACAUUAGGGUUAAAAUGAACACCAGGUGAAGGUGUAAGGGUUAACGGAUUAUUAUCCUCACCCUGAGUCCGACGUUUCCUUCUGCAUUUUAAAACGAUGACUAUCACACCGCCAAGCAGAAGCAAACUUCCGAGUGAUGAGAUGAUAAUCACGAUCUGCACUUUAUUAAGAGCCGGAGGAACUGAAAUGUUAGAAAAUGAGAAAUGAUUCAUGACAAUUAUAGACUUUUUACUUUGGAACAAAUAACAAAGCUACUGCUCAUGUUGUUAAAGCAUUUCUAAAGCAUUUCUUGUGGUGCCAUUUUUAAUGUGAAAAGAAAAUAACUUGCUCCCAAAUAGGGAACGAAUAAGAUAUACAGUGGCUAGAAAAUAAACACACUCCCUUUUAAAAUGUUUACAUUUUGUUUGCAGUUACAACCCCAAUUGGGAAAAAGUUUUAGACAGUAUGGGAAAUGGAAAUAAAAAACAAAGAGGAGUGAUGUGGAAAUGUACUUUGACUUGUAUUUAAACAGAACACGUAUAAAGACGAGGUAUUUGAUUUGUUUUAUCUAAUCAACUUCAUAGUUUUCUGAAGAUAAACGAUUAUUUUGACAUUGAUUCAUGCAAACACGUACGAAAUAUGUUGGGACAGGGGCAGUUUAAGACUAAUAGCGGUGUGAGAAGUUGAAAUAAGAAGGUGAUGUAAAACAAGUGAGGCGAUUGUCUAAUCAUACUAUAUAAGGAGCCUCCAAAAAACUCCUUCAAGAGCGAGGCGGGUCGAGGCUCGCUGAUCUGCCAACAGACGCGUCAGAGAAUAAUCCAAAACUUUGAGAAGAACAUUCCCCAAAGAGAAAUCAGUAGGAUUUUCAGCAUUUCACCUUCUACAGCGCACAAUAUAAUUAAAAGAUUAGAGAAAUCCGGUCAAAUCUGUGUGUGUAAAGGGCGAGGCCGAAAACCACUUCUGAAUGUGCGUGAUCUCCGAUCACUCAGACGUCACUGUCUUAAAAACCCUCAUGAGUCUGUAAUGGAGAUCCUUACAUGGGCUCGGGAAUACUUCGGUAAAGCUUUGUCAUUUGACACCAUUCGCCACUGCAUCCACAGAUGCAAGUUAAAGCUUUGCUAUGUCCAAAACCUCCGCCCACAACUUUUUUGUGUUGCAGUCAUCAGAUUUGAAAUGAGUGUAUAUUUAAAAAAAAAAAUGUAAUUAAAUUCACAAAGUAAAACAUCAAAUAAUGUGUUAAUAAUGUGUUUUCAAUACGACUUUCAAAUGAUCUUUUUCAAACUGUUUUUUUUUUUUUUUUUUUUUUUUUUUUUUAAAAUACUGUCCCAACUUUUUCAGAAUUGGGGUUGUACCGGUCUUUGUGGGUGGCUCUCCACCUGGAUUUUGGAGAUCUCUUUGCAGAACUGUUCAAGCUGGGAUAGGUUAUUUAGUUUUUACUGAUAAACCUUUCCUUGGAUUUUUGAUUGGAUUUAGGUCAGGGAUUUGACUAGCCCACUCCAGAACAUCCACCUUGUUCCUAGCUAGCCACUCUAUGGUGUCUUUGGCUCAUUGUCCUGUUGGAUUAUGAUUUUCCAACUAAGAUUCAUAUGUUCUGCAGAUUUCAUCAGGUUCUUCUCCAGAAUCUCCUUGCAUUCUGCUCCAUCCAUCCUCCCCUCAAUCUUGUCAAGUUCCCAAGUCCAUGCAGAUGAGUAAUAUCCCCACAGCAUUAUGUUGCCACCACUAUGCUUGACAGUUGGGAUGGUGGUAGUUUGAUGAUGGACCAUGUUGGCAUUCAUCUGACCACAAAACCUUCUGCCACUCUCACAAGGCACUGUGUGUGCAGAGCUUGCGUGUUCUCCUCCUGCUUUGGAGGUUUCCUCCGGGUACUCCAGUUUCCUCCCCCAGUCUAAAGACACACUAUGAAGGCUGUCUGGCAUUUCCAGAUUGUCCGUAGUGUGUAAAUGUGUGCGGGAUUGUGCCCUGUAAUGGGUUGGCACCCCAUCCAGGGUGUCCCAAAUCCCCUGGGACAGGCUCCAGUCUCCCCGUGACCCUGUGUAGGAUAAGCGGAUGGAUGGAUGGAUGGAUACGUUGAGUUAAAUGCAAGCUCCUGAUCUUGGAGUUGGUGUGUAUCCAUCUCACUCCAUCUCUCUUUCUGCUGCAAUCCAAUCAUUUUGCCUUAUUGAAAUUGUUCGUCUUGAACGUUAAUCACGAUACCAGAUCACUUUUUACCAGGCAUAACAAUCAGUCCUGUGGAGUAUGGUUCUUCGCUAGUGUUUUAAAUAAUGUUUACCAUCAACCACUUUUGUUCUAGGAACAGCAACACCACUUCCUGUACUUAUGAAUAUUCAUUUGAAGCACUCUACAAUACAUGUAUACAUUACUGCAGCUAUUGAAUCAAAGCUGUUACCUGAUGUAAUGAAUGUGGAGUUAUAAGUAGGGCUCUGUUCUGUAGUUUCUGUAAUGUAAGAGAAAUAAAUGAUAAGUAAAACAGUGCAUGACCUAAAUGAUGUGAUAUGGUGUAGUGGCCACUGGCAAGAACAGUCAAAUCGGUUGGUUUUCCUAGAGUUACGUGAGUGGAAUAGCAAACACAGGCUUUAAAGUCCCAGAAUGCAAAGCAGAUGUACCACGCCGAGUCAUGGCAGAGGAUCGAUUCGGUUACUUAGCAAUC
ensembl:lncRNA